AACGAACGCUGGCGGCAUGCUUAACACAUGCAAGUUGAACGCAGCAUAGGGCUUCGGCUCUAUGGCUGAGUAGCAAACGGGUGAGUAACGCGUGGGAAUCUGCCUUUUUGUGGGGGAUAACUGAGGGAAACUUCAGCUAAUACCGCAUAAGCUCUACGGAGGAAAAGCGAAAGCUGCAAAAAGAGGAGCCCGCGUCAGAUUAGGUAGUUGGUGGGGUAAAGGCCUACCAAGCCAAUGAUCUGUAGCUGGUCUGAGAGGAUGAUCAGCCACACUGGGACUGAGAUACGGCCCAGACUCCUACGGGAGGCUG
rnacentral:rRNA from 1 species